UACGGAGGGGGCUAGCGUUGUUCGGAAUUACUGGGCGUAAAGCGCACGUAGGCGGCUUUGUAAGUUAGAGGUGAAAGCCCAGGGCUCAACCCUGGAAUUGCCUUUAAGACUGCAUCGCUAGAAUUGUGGAGAGGUAAGUGGGAAUUCCGAGUGUAGAGGUGAAAUUCGUAGAUAUUCGGAAGAACGCCAGUGGCGAAGGCGACUUACUGGACACAUAUUGACGCUGAGGUGCGAAAGCGUGGGGAGCAAACAGGG
rnacentral:rRNA from 1 species